GACGAACGCUGGCGGCGUGCUUAACACAUGCAAGUCGAACGGAAAGGCCCUGCUCUUGCGGGGUGCUCGAGUGGCGAACGGGUGAGUAACACGUGAGUAACCUGCCCCUGACUUUGGGAUAACUUCAGGAAACUGGGGCUCAUACCGGAUAGGAGCUCCUGCUGCAUGGUGGGGGUUGGAAAGAUUCGGCGGUUGGGGAUGGUCUCGCGGCUUAUCAGCCUGUUGGUGGGGUAGUGGCUUACCAAGGCUGUGACGGGUAGCCGGCCUGAGAGGGUGACCGGCCACAUGGGGACUGAGAGACGGACCAGACUGGUACGGGAGGCAGCAGUGGGGAAUAUUGCGGAGUGGGGGGAAGCCUGAUGCAGCGGCGCCGCGUGCGGGAUGACGGCCUACGAGUUGUAAACCGCUUUCGCCUGUGACGAGGCGUGAGUGACGGUAAUGGGUAAAGAAGCACCGGCUAACUACGUG
rnacentral:rRNA from 1 species